GACGAACGCUGGCGGCGUGCCUAAUACAUGCAAGUCGAGCGAUGAAGCUUGGUGCUUGCACCAAUUUGAAGAGCAGCGAACGGGUGAGUAACGCGUGGGGAAUCUGCCUUUGAGCGGGGACAACAUUUGGAAACGAAUGCUAAUACCGCAUAACAACUUUAAACAUAAGUUUUAAGUUUGAAAGAUGCAAUUGCAUCACUCAAAGAUGAUCCCGCGUUGUAUUAGCUAGUUGGUGAGGUAAAGGCUCACCAAGGCGAUGAUACAUAGCCGACCUGAGAGGGUGAUCGGCCACAUUGGGACUGAGACACGGCCCAAACUCCUACGGGAGGCAGCAGUAGGGAAUCUUCGGCAAUGGACGAAAGUCUGACCGAGCAACGCCGCGUGAGUGAAGAAGGUUUUCGGAUCGUAAAACUCUGUUGGUAGAGAAGAACGUUGGUGAAAGUGGAAAGCUCAUCAAGUGACGGUAACUACCCAGAAAGGGACGGCUAACUACGUG
rnacentral:rRNA from 1 species